rnacentral:rRNA from 1 species
GACGAACGCUGGCGGCGUGCUUAACACAUGCAAGUCGAACGGAAAGGCCCUGCUUUUGUGGGGUGCUCGAGUGGCGAACGGGUGAGUAACACGUGAGUAACCUGCCCUUGACUUUGGGAUAACUUCAGGAAACUGGGGCUAAUACCGGAUAGGAGCUCCUGCUGCAUGGUGGGGGUUGGAAAGUUUCGGCGGUUGGGGAUGGACUCGCGGCUUAUCAGCUUGUUUGUGAGGUAGUGGCUUACCAAGGCUUUGACGGGUAGCCGGCCUGAGAGGGUGACCGGCCACAUUGGGACUGAGGUACGGCCCAGACUCCUACGGGAGGCAGCAGUGGGGAAUAUUGCACAAUGGGCGGAAGCGUGAUGCAGCAACGCCGCGUGCGGGAUGACGGCCUUCGGGUUGUAAACCGCUUUCGCAUGUGACGAAGCGUGAGUGACGGUAAUGGGUAAAGAAGCACCGGCUAACUACGUG